UUUUUUUUUUUUCCUGCAAAGAAAAACAUGGAUCAGUUAGAUGGAAAUCAGUCUGGUAUCAGUGUAAAGGGAGCAGAUGGUGUCCAGGCCAGAAGCGAGUAGGCAUUGUAACAUGUUAGAAGCAGCUUGCAGAGGGAAAGAGCCUACAGCAGAUCUACUGAUAAAGGCAAGAUCUGGAUCACAUAUGCAGAGGACUUAACAUAAUGCUGAGUGAAACAGAACGGCCGUUCUAUACAUUAAAACACAGAUUAUUUAUCUAUAUUUAUAAGGUUUAUUCCAGAUUUUUAAAGGGCACGACCCAUGCAAAAACAUGCAUAGACAGGGCUUAUUUAACCAAAAUGGAACCUAAUUUAUCUAUUCCGUGCGGCUGUGCUCAUUUUAAACUUUUGGAGAGUAGAGAUCAAUGGAAUUUAGGAUGCUAUUAUGCAUUGUCAGCAAUAUAAUGCAUUCGGAUGUAUUGUGUCAGUGUUAUCAAAAUAUAAUGGACAAAAAAAGGAUACUUAAGAAUCAUGGGCAACAGCAGCUUUACCAAGAGGGGGGAUUUGCACCACAUAUCCCCUCAUAGCAUUUUAAUUUGCAUAAAUGCCUCAAUGCCUUUUUAAAAAACAUUUUUUAUUGAUGCCUGGUUCACCUUAAAGGAAUAUUCCAAAAACCAUAAGCACUACAGUUCACUCUCUAUUCAGAGAUUUUCUAUAUUUCGAUGGAUAUGUAAGGCCUGAUAUGUAAGGUAUAGUAUAUAUGGACAGGGAAAACAUACAGUGCCCACCACUAAUAUUGGCACCCUUGGUACAUAUGAGCAAACAAGAAUUGUCUUUACUGUUUGAUCUUUUGCUAAAUAUAUGUGUGGUACAACUAUUGGCCCCCCUCUUUUUGUCAAUACUUUGUGCUACCUCUUUUUGUCAAAAUAAGAGCUCUGAUUCUCCUACAAUGCCAGGUUAGAAGAAUACAUUUCAAGGGAUUGGAGACCACUCCUCCAUACAGAAUCUCUUGUGGCAGAGUCCAUGAUGCCACGUAUUCUAACAAAAUGUCCAGAUCAUCUGGCAGAAAAACAGCCCCAAAACCACCAUAUUUAACUGUGGGUAUAAGGAACCUUUCCAUAUGGCUACCUCUCUAUGUGCACCAAAUCCAUCUCUGGUUUAUUGCCAAAAAGCUCUAUUUUGGUUUCAUCUGACUAUAGAACCCAAUCUUAUUUGAAGUUCCAGUAGUGUCUGGCAAACUUGUGUUUUUUGUUUUUUUUUUGCUUUUCUCUUGAAACCCUUCCAAACGACUUGCGGUGAUGCAUGUGAUGUCAUAUUGUAGUUUUGGAGACUUUCUGACUCAACUCACAUCUGCAGGCUGAUUUAUAGCAUUUUCAGUUGACUGGAACUACUUAAUUAUUGCCCUUAUGGUGAAAAUAGACAUUUUCAAUGUUUUUGCUCUUUCUUAUAGCCACUUCCCAUUUUGUGAAGAACCUUUUGUCGUACGUCACAGCUAUAUUCCUUGGUUUUACCCAUUGUAAAGAAUGACUAAGGAAAUUUGUUACCUCAUUUUUAUAACACUGUGAAAUAAGAAGUUAUGGUUGAACAAUUUCCUGUUUCUAGUCACUCAGAUGUACGAAAAAAUUUAGAAUAUCAAUGUCAAUAUCCUUCAAGAGUAUGUUUGUGUAUUUAUUGAACAAAAUAUCAAAAUGUUGAACAAUAAAGAUACAUUUUCAUUACAUAUUAGUGGCGUGCACGGUACCACAGCAUUUGGAGACACGGAA